AUGUUUGGCGAGGCCUCGGGCCUGAAGAUCAACAGACAAAAAUCAACGGCAACACCAAUUUGAUGUGACACUAUGGACAUCUAGUAGCUUCUUCGGAGUUUUGGAGGCACCACCACCUCAUUCCUGCUUAAAUAUUUGGGCCUCUCGCUUACUCUGACAAGAACACGGCUAGUGCACCUUCAGUUUGUCUUGGAUCGAAUCAGAGCUAGAUUGGCUGGAUGGAAGGGCAAACUCAUGACUAAUGCUGGAUGACGGGUGCUCGUCAGAGCAGUGCUGACUGCCAUCCCAGUUUUUGCUAUGACAGUACUCCGUAUGCCAAAGAAAUUCUUCAAGGAAAUUGACAAAGUGAGGCGUCGUUUUCUGUGGGCAUAA
rnacentral:rRNA from 1 species